UUCAUCACCAAAGGAUGCAGU
rnacentral:misc_RNA from 1 species